rnacentral:misc_RNA from 1 species
UACGGAGGGUGCAAGCGUUAAUCGGAUUUACUGGACGUAAAGCGUGCGUAGGCGGCUUUUUAAGUCGGAUGUGAAAUCCCCGAGCUUAACUUGGGAAUUGCAUUCGAUACUGGGAAGCUAGAGUAUGGGAGAGGAUGGUAGAAUUCCAGGUGUAGCGGUGAAAUGCGUAGAUAUAGGAAGGAACACCAGUGGCGAAGGCAGCCAUCUGGCCUAGUACUGACGCUGAGGUACGAAAGCAUGGGGAGCAAACAGG